UCUGAGAUGCUGGGCGUGGGGGACUUCUAUUACGAACUAGGUGUCCAAAUUAUCGAAGUGUGCCUGGCGCUGAAGCAUCGGAAUGGAGGUGAGGGUGGCUAGGUCCUGUGAACUGGACUCUGGACUUCUCUGAGAGGGAGAAAACCGUAAAAGAUUAUCGUUUCCAUCCUGCAGUCUACAGGCCUCUAAGGACUUGAGAGACAUCUUAGCUGUUUCAUGCAGUUGAAUCCAUGGCAAGUCUCCAUGGCCAAGGGUCUGAUAACUUUGGAGGAACUACAUCAACAGGUGUUGAAGGGAAGGGGCAAGUUCGCCCAGGAUGUCAGUCAGUAGGUCUUGUCUUCCAAUCCCUUGGAGUACAGAAAGAGGUCUUUAAAAUUCAGAUGGAACUCUUUUCUCUCUAUUCCUCAUGUCUAGGCUAGCUUAGAAAUCUGUAUGAUCUCCAUAUCAUACAGAAA
rnacentral:sRNA from 1 species